CCCGGGCCGCCCCCGCCCGUCCACGCGCCGCCCGGGCGAACCGUGAAAUCAUGUCUGGAUGAAUUGUUGCCAGCUGGGUCAUGGCCGUCGGGGUGCUAUUCAGGUCCAAUGGCUCGAUGUGGGGAUUCCGAAUUUACUUGCCGAGUUGAGUGCCAAGGAUUUGAACUUGUGAUGCAUUAAGGCAAG